AAACGCUGGCAUAUUCAGGAGAAACAGGAGAAGGAAGUACCACUGUGAUCAGCAAUUCUCUGUGCUUCUCAUUGGGUCUCAGUGGGCUGGUACCAUUAUGACAACAUUGCACUCGACACCUCCUCUGAUUUUUAUGUCCUACUCACUGUGCUACUGCUGUGUAUUUUUACUGAAACUCAGCUGAUGGAUACCCAGAGAAAGAUGCUGUUCCAGAAACAGUAUUGCCAUCUAGCAGCAGCUCAGCAUCUUUUAUAAACCAGAAACACCCAAUGUCAACCAGAUACUUUUGCAGUCUGUCUUUCCACUGCAGAAACAGAAUUACUACAACUUUACAAGCUAACAGCUGUAGAACUAAUAGCUGAGCUUCCAGCUGGGACCAGAGCUGAAGCUGUGCCACAUCAGCACUGAAAUGAGGUAUUCACUCAGAAAUGGGAGCUACUGUGAAACUGUAAGUUCAUGAGCCUAUCAAACAGCAGGAGGAAAGGGGCUCUCUCCAGCCAAGAACUGCAGUUUUGCACGGUCUCUUCAAGAAUGUUCCACCUAAACGACUCAAAUCCCACAGUUAAUGACACCACUGAUGAUGCUCAGCACUAAAAUCAGGUUUUCAAA